GAUCCUGGCUCAGGACGAACGCUGGCGGCGUGCCUAAUACAUGCAAGUAGAACGCUGAAGGAGGAGCUUGCUCUUUCCGGAUGAGUUGCGAACGGGUGAGUAACGCGUAGGUAACCUGCCUGGUAGCGGGGGAUAACUAUUGGAAACGAUAGCUAAUACCGCAUAACAGUAGAUGUCGCAUGACAUUUGCUUAAAAAGGUGCAAUUGCAUCACUACCAGAUGGACCUGCGUUG
rnacentral:rRNA from 1 species